rnacentral:lncRNA from 1 species
GCACAUUGUUAAUCUACCUUUGUGACACAGUUUAGAGGCUAGUCUUUUAGGGAAGUAUUCAAAUGAUCUGUAGGUUUGGUGUGAGCUUACCCAGGAAUGUUUCUUUUCUUAUCAGGUAAAAGAGUGAGGCUGGGCCCAAAGAAAGAUCGUUAUUGUAUUGGUUGAUAACCAGCUACUAGUUAACAACUUAAGGAAGUAUAGUUAUUUGAAGACGACCAGUCAAGCAUAGGAAUCAUAUCAUCUUCCACCUUGCCUCUUUUUGCUUACUAAUUUAAAAUGCAUAAAUAUAUAGUUAACCUGAUACAAAUUCAUUGGUUCUAUUACUAGAGGAUAAUAAGGAAUGAAUGAUUUGUCUUAUUUUAGUGUUUAAUUAUAGCAAAUCCACCAAAUCCACUUUACAUUUUACAUCUGCUUUUUUUUUUUUUUACUUACAGUAGACCCAAAUGAUUUGUACAUUGUAGAACCCCUCAAGUUUUCUCCAGAAAAGAAGAAGAAGCGCUGCAAGUACAAAAUUGAAAAAAUUGAGACCAUAAAGCCUGAAGAACCAUUGCACCCCAUAGCCAAUGGCGACAUAAAAGGAAGAAAGCCCUUUACGAACCAGAGAGAUUUUUCUAAUAUGGGAGAAGUUUAUCACUCUUCUUAUAAAGGUCCUCCAUCUGAAGGAAGCUCAGAAACUUCAUCACAGUCAGAAGAGUCCUAUUUUUGUGGCAUUUCAGCUUGCACAAGUCUGUGCAAUGGACAGUCUCAAAAGACAAAAACUG